UCCUUUCAGACACACAUGUCACAUUCAAG
rnacentral:piRNA from 1 species